GACGAACGCUGGCGGCGUGCUUAACACAUGCAAGUCGAACGGAAAGGCCCUGCUUUUGUGGGGUGCUCGAGUGGCGAACGGGUGAGUAACACGUGAGUAACCUGCCCUUGACUUUGGGAUAACUUCAGGAAACUGGGGCUAAUAUCGGAUAGGAGCUCCUGCUGCAUGGUGGGGGUUGGAAAGUUUCGGCGGUUGGGGAUGGACUCGCGGCUUAUCAGCUUGUUGGUGGGGUAGUGGCUUACCAAGGCUUUGACGGGUAGCCGGCCUGAGAGGGUGACCGGCCACAUUGGGACUGAGAUACGGCCCAGACUCCUACGGGAGGCAGCAGUGGGGAAUAUUGCACAAUGGGCGGAAGCCUGAUGCAGCAACGCCGCGUGCGGGAUGACGGCCUUCGGGUUGUAAACCGCUUUCGCCUGUGACGAAGCGUGAGUGACGGUAAUGGGUAAAGAAGCACCGGCUAACCACGUG
rnacentral:rRNA from 1 species